GUGAGGAAUAUUGCACAAUGGGCGAAAGCCUGAUGCAGCGACGCCGCGUGGGUGAAGAAGGUUUUCGGAUCGUAAAACCCUUUUCUGUGUGACGAGAACGGACGGUAGCACAGGAAUAAGUCUCGGCUAACUACGUGCCAGCAGCCGCGGUAAAACGUAGGAGACAAACGUUAUCCGGAGUUACUGGGCGUAAAGGGCGUGCAGGCGGCAGUCUAAGUCUGGCGUGAAAUAUCCCGGCUCAACCGGGGAAGGUCGUCGGAUACUGGGCAGCUAGAGGGCGGUAGAGGCGUGUGGAAUUCCGGGUGUAGUGGUGAAAUGCGUAGAGAUCCGGAGGAACACCAGUGGCGAAGGCGACACGCUGGGCCGUACCUGACGCUAAGACGCGACAGCAUGGGGAGCAAACAGGAUUAGAUACCCGAGUAGUCC
rnacentral:rRNA from 1 species